rnacentral:tRNA from 1 species
UCCCUAGUGGCUCAGAUGAUAAAGCAUCUGCCUGCAAUGCAGGAGACCUGGGUUUGAUUCCUGGGUUGGGAA